rnacentral:rRNA from 1 species
CGUUGCUACUACCGAGUGAAUGAUUUAGUGAGGUCUUCGGACCGAUACCCAAGGCGGCAUUUCGGUUGCGCAGGUGUGUUAGAAAGUUGACCAAACGUGAUAACUUAGAGGAACUAAAAGUGGU